AAAGCAUAAACUAAAGCAUGGUCUGCCCACAACCAAGUACUCAAGUAUAUGAAAUAAUGGUCAUUCCUGAAUAUUUUCAAGUUCAUAAUUUUAUUGUUCAGUGAUCAUAUCUGCUUGCAGAAUUUAACUUCUACUUACAAUUACAAAUUUCUUGAAAUAACAAAACAUAGACUUCAUUUUUUUUCUACUCUGGAUCAUCUUGAGUGGUAGAACAUUUUUUUCUGCUUCGUAAGGUAAGAUCAUAAGAGAAGCUGCUCUCUAUGUGAUCGAAACAUAUCAAAUACUUAUGCAGAUCACUCUUCAGAAAUACAGGCUUGUGCAGGUGCGUAUUUUUUUGCAAGCUAUUUUUGUAAGUUCUGGACGAGAGGGUCUAUUCUAUUAGUUGCUGGUUCAUUACUAUUCGUUGGCAUAUAGUAUAUAUUGCAUUGCCCUUGUUGCUAUGAAUUUCACAGA
rnacentral:lncRNA from 1 species